AAAUUGAAGAGUUUGAUCAUGGCUCAGAUUGAACGCUGGCGGCAGGCCUAACACAUGCAAGUCGAACGGUAACAGGAAGCAGCUUGCUGCUUCGCUGACGAGUGGCGGACGGGUGAGUAAUGUCUGGGAAACUGCCUGAUGGAGGGGGAUAACUACUGGAAACGGUGGCUAAUACCGCAUAACGUCGCAAGACCAAAGAGGGGGACCUUCGGGCCUCUUGCCAUCAGAUGUGCCCAGAUGGGAUUAGCUUGUUGGUGAGGUAACGGCUCACCAAGGCGACGAUCCCUAGCUGGUCUGAGAGGAUGACCAGCCACACUGGAACUGAGACACGGUCCAGACUCCUACGGGAGGCAGCAGUGGGGAAUAUUGCACAAUGGGCGCAAGCCUGAUGCAGCCAUGCCGCGUGUAUGAAGAAGGCCUUCGGGUUGUAAAGUACUUUCAGCGGGGAGGAAGGUGUUGUGGUUAAUAACCACAGCAAUUGACGUUACCCGCAGAAGAAGCACCGGCUAACUCCGUGCCAGCAGCCGCGGUAAUACGGAGGGUGCAAGCGUUAAUCGGAAUUACUGGGCGUAAAGCGCACGCAGGCGGUCUGUCAAGUCGGAUGUGAAAUCCCCGGGCUCAACCUGGGAACUGCAUUCGAAACUGGCAGGCUUGAGUCUUGUAGAGGGGGGUAGAAUUCCAGGUGUAGCGGUGAAAUGCGUAGAGAUCUGGAGGAAUACCGGUGGCGAAGGCGGCCCCCUGGACAAAGACUGACGCUCAGGUGCGAAAGCGUGGGGAGCAAACAGGAUUAGAUACCCUGGUAGUCCACGCCGUAAACGAUGUCUACUUGGAGGUUGUGCCCUUGAGGCGUGGCUUCCGGAGCUAACGCGUUAAGUAGACCGCCUGGGGAGUACGGCCGCAAGGUUAAAACUCAAAUGAAUUGACGGGGGCCCGCACAAGCGGUGGAGCAUGUGGUUUAAUUCGAUGCAACGCGAAGAACCUUACCUGGUCUUGACAUCCACGGAAGUUUUCAGAGAUGAGAAUGUGCCUUCGGGAACCGUGAGACAGGUGCUGCAUGGCUGUCGUCAGCUCGUGUUGUGAAAUGUUGGGUUAAGUCCCGCAACGAGCGCAACCCUUAUCCUUUGUUGCCAGCGAUUAGGUCGGGAACUCAAAGGAGACUGCCAGUGAUAAACUGGAGGAAGGUGGGGAUGACGUCAAGUCAUCAUGGCCCUUACGACCAGGGCUACACACGUGCUACAAUGGCGCAUACAAAGAGAAGCGACCUCGCGAGAGCAAGCGGACCUCAUAAAGUGCGUCGUAGUCCGGAUUGGAGUCUGCAACUCGACUCCAUGAAGUCGGAAUCGCUAGUAAUCGUGGAUCAGAAUGCCACGGUGAAUACGUUCCCGGGCCUUGUACACACCGCCCGUCACACCAUGGGAGUGGGUUGCAAAAGAAGUAGGUAGCUUAACCUUCGGGAGGGCGCUUACCACUUUGUGAUUCAUGACUGGGGUGAAGUCGUAACAAGGUAACCGUAGGGGAACCUGCGGUUGGAUCACCUCCUUACCUGAAAGAAGC
rnacentral:rRNA from 3 species